CUUUAAAGAAUUAGAUUUGAAUAUAAUGAACUAAUAUCUUAGCGCACAAAUGCGCAGAAAGUUAGUCUGCAAAGAAUAAAAUUUCGCCAAUACCAGGGGACUCUCUGAGUCCAUCAGUACUGCUUUACCCCAGCCAUCUGGAUGCCCUUACAUUUAGAUGGCCGUAA
rnacentral:sRNA from 1 species